UACGUAGGGUGCGAGCGUUAAUCGGAAUUACUGGGCGUAAAGUGUGCGCAGGUGGCUUCGCAAGUCGAGUGUGAAAUCCCCGGGCUUAACCUGGGAAUUGCGCUCGAAACUACGGAGCUGGAGUGUGGCAGAGGGGGGUGGAAUUCCACGUGUAGCGGUGAAAUGCGUAGAGAUGUGGAGGAACACCAAUGGCGAAGGCAGCCCCCUGGGCCAACACUGACACUCAUGCACGAAAGCGUGGGGAGCAAACAGG
rnacentral:rRNA from 1 species